rnacentral:lncRNA from 1 species
CUAUUGGAUUGGCGAUAGCAUAAUUGACACGACCUCUACUCCAACUCUCUCCCAGAUCCGAGCAAGGAGCACGGAUUCGAGCCCAGCGAUAUGCCCACGGCCGACCACUACACAGUUUCAGAUAGAGGCUCUUCAGGUUCUUUCUAUUUCAUUCAUCGUUCGUUGGUUGUUACGUAUUUUACCUUUGCAUUGUAAUAUUGCGAUCAAAAAUUGUAGGCCCAAGUGGAGAGGCAACAACAGGAUAUGGAGGCGAGGGUUGAGCGGAUGGUUCGGCAGAGGAUGGAGGCCGAGCGGCAGAGGAUGGACGAAGAACAUCGGUUGAGGAUGGAACAAAUGCUUCAAUACAUGCAAAAUUUUGCUAAUGCUACGACUAUGGGUAUGUUGGGAUACGAGGUAGGCUACACUAGCGCAAAUCAAAAUUUUCUACUGCGUAAACCAAGAAAACAGCCGUAUAAGGAUCACAGGAUUACCACUCGACGCAAAAAUGCGGAAGAUGUAGAUUCGCGUCGAUGCAGUGAAGUCGAUCAGCAUAGUCGUACGUAGUCGAUCAAAGUAGUCGUACGUAGUCGAUCACGUCGACGUCCAGCAGCUCCUCAGCAGCUCGUCCACGUGCAGCAAGAUCGCCCUCGUGCCGCGGCUCAUCGUCGGCUCGUCGUGGCUCGUCAGCGGCUCGUCGCAGUGCUGCAGGCGCAACACCUCCAAGGUAUCCACACGUGCAGGGAGGAAGCGUCGCAAGCCAGACUGCUAGGUCCGCGAGUUGCAACAGGCGAGGGCGUGGGAGGCGCGGCAGAUGUGUUUCGCCAAAAAGGUGUAAACCAUAGGGCGCCCCCACCCCUCUAUUUAUAGAGGUUCCUAACGGGCCACUGGGUCCAAGGCCCAUUAGUACUUUUAAACCUAAUCCAACUCGAAUCACAUCCGAAUUGGGCUUCCAACCCCUUAAGUGUGUGACCCUACGGGUUCGGAUACGUAUAGACAUGGCCCGAGUACUCCUACUCGGUCCAAUAGUCGGUAGCGGCCUCUAGCAAGACGUGCCAACUCCUAUACGCACACGAAGAUCAUAUCAGACGAACCAUCACAACAUUAUAUACAUGUUAUUCCCUUUGCCUCACGAUAUUUGGUCUAGCUUCAAGCUGACCGCUCUUUCUCGAUCCUAUGAUUCGGAAUCCCUUUGUACGUUAACUCUUAACCGUACGUAGCAUCGCCAUGCAUUUUUUGAUCCGAUCACUCGAGGGGCCCAGAGAUAUCACUCUCAAUCAAAGAGGGGCAAAUCCCAUCUUGAUUGACCAUGUCUCAUAGUAUGCUUCUUGACAAACCCGAAAGCUACCUUUAUAACUACCCUUUAACGGCGUAGCGUUUGAUAGUCCCUAAGUAAGUCGAUCCACAUCUUGAGUGCAUGCGACAAUCUCAGGUCUAAGGACAAAGCGUAUAUGUUGUGUAAAGAGAGAACUACUUCUCGUGUUGGGUCAGUCCUAGCACAUGUCUCCACAUGUGCCCACAUUAUUAGUUCAACAUCUCCAUGUCCAUGACUUGUGAAACAUAGUCAUCAACUAAUACAUGUGCUAGUCUAAUAUUCAUGUGUGUCCUCACAUGAACUCCGACUAGGGACAACUUUAGAAUAACCAUACAAGUAAAGAGUUUCACAUACAAUUCACAUAAUUGCAAAUCAAUUUAAGUAGCCUUUAAUGGAUAUUCAAGGAACACGAUAUAAAUCAUGAAUACAAAUGGAAUAUCAUCAUCUCUAUGAUUGCCUCUAGGGCAUACCUCCAACAGGGUACACCACUGCCACAGCCACCGAUGAUAUUCCCUCCACCUCAGCCACCCACACAUACUCCUGUGAGUCACUUGAACUUUAGUUUCAAUACUUGACUUAGUUAGCUCAAACUUGACUUAGUUACCUCACCGAUGACUUAUUUACCUCAAAUGAUAUCAAUCUUGUCCUCACAAGUCUUCUUUUAUGUGCAGAAUCAAUCGGUGGCUUCGAAUUCCCAAGCUCAAGACCCAGAUUUGAUGCAGCC